rnacentral:rRNA from 1 species
UACAGAGGGUGCGAGCGUUAAUCGGAAUUACUGGGCGUAAAGCGUGCGUAGACGGUUAUUUAAGUCGGAUGUGAAAGCCCCGGGCUCAACCUGGGAAUUGCAUUCGAGACUGAAUAGCUAGGGUACGGUAGAGGGAAGCGGAAUUUCCGGUGUAGCGGUGAAAUGCGUAGAUAUCUGGAGGAACACCGGUGGCGAAGGCGGCAUCCUGGACUGGUCCUGACACUCAUGAGCGAAAGCGUGGGGAGCGAUCCGG